CAACUACUCCCUCUGUCCCAAAUUUAUUGUCUUAGAUUUGUCUAGAUACGGAUGUAUCAAGUCACAUUUUAGUAUUAGAUACAUCCUUAUCUAGAUAAAUCUAAGACAAGAAAUUUGGGACAGAGGGAGUAGUUG
rfam:Triticum urartu cultivar G1812 contig435000, whole genome shotgun sequence.